UUCUUGUGUGACCGCGUACUUUUUGUAGAACGGGCCAACGAGUUACGUUAAGUAGCAAGGUUAAGCACUUAAGGUGUGGAGCCGUAGCGAAAGCGAGUUUUAACUGAGCGUUCAGUUACUUGACGUAGACCCGAAACCGGGCGACCUACCCAUGAGCAGGAUGAAGCGAAAGUAAAAUUUCGUGGAGGUCCGAACCCACGAGCGUUGAAAAGCUCGGGGAUGACUUGUGGGUAGCGGUGAAAUUCCAAUCGAGCCCGGAGAUAGCUGGUUCUCCCCGAAAUAGCUUUAGGGCUAGCCUCAAGGUGAGAGAUACGGAGGUAGAGCACUGAAUGUCCUAGGGGGUAUUGCACCUACCGAAGACUAUCAAACUCCGAAUGCCGUCAUCUUAUACUUGGGAGUCAGACUGUGGGUGAUAAGAUUCAUAGUCGAAAGGGCAACAGCCCAGAUCGUCAGCUAAGGUCCCUAAAUGUAAGUUAAGUGGUAAAGGAUGUGGGAUUGCACAGACAACCAGGAUGUUGGCUUAGAAGCAGCCACUCAUUCAAAGAGUGCGUAAUAGCUCACUGGUCGAGUGAUCCUGCGCCGAAGAUUUCCGGGGCUAAAACUUACUACCGAAGCUACGGCAUCAGUAAUGAUGGGUAGGGGAGCUUCCCAUACGGGUUGAAGCAUGACCGUAAGGACAUGUGGACAGUAUGGGAGUGAGAAUGUUGGCAUGAGUAGCGAGAUGUGGGUGAGAAUCCCACAGGCCGUAAACCCAAGGUUUCCAGGGGAAGGUUCGUCCGCCCUGGGUUAGUCGGGACCUAAGCUGAGGCCGAAAGGCGUAGGUGAUGGACAACAGGUUGAUAUUCCUGUACUACCGAUAACCGUUUGAGAGAAGGGAUGACACAGUAGGAUAAGCUAAGCACACUGUUGGUUAUGUGUGCCCAAGCAUUGAGGCAGUCAAAGUAGGCAAAUCCGCUUUGAUAAUGCUGGGAUGUGAUGGGGAGCGAAAUUUAGUAGCGAAGUAGCUGAUUUCACACUGUCAAGAAAAGUCUCUAUCGAGGUUAAAGGUACCCGUACCGCAAACCGACACAGGUGGGUGAGGAGAGUAUCCUAAGGCCAGCGAGAGAACUGUUGUUAAGGAACUCGGCAAAAUGACCCCGUAACUUAGGGAUAAGGGGUGCCACCAUCAGGUGGCCGCAGAGAAUAGGCCCAAGCGACUGUUUACCAAAAACAUAGGUUUCUGCUAAGUCGCAAGACGAUGUAUAGGAGCUGACGCCUGCCCGGUGCUGGAAGGUUAAGGGGAUCUGUUAGAGCAAUCGAAGCAGUGAACUUAAGCCCCAGUAAACGGCGGCCGUAACUAUAACGGUCCUAAGGUAGCGAAAUUCCUUGUCGGGUAAGUUCCGACCCGCACGAAAGGCGUAACGAUUUGGGCACUGUCUCAACAACAGACUCGGUGAAAUUGUAAUUCCGGUGAAGAUGCCGGAUACCUGCGACAGGACGGAAAGACCCCAUGGAGCUUUACUGUAGCUUGACAUUGGGUCUUGGUACUACAUGUACAGGAUAGGUGGGAGGCUUUGAAACCAGGACGCCAGUUUUGGCGGAGCCAUCCUUGGGAUACCACCCUUGUAGUACUGGGACUCUAACCAUAGGCCAUGAAUCUGGUCUUGGGACACUGUCAGGUGGGCAGUUUGACUGGGGCGGUCGCCUCCCAAAAGGUAACGGAGGCGCUCAAAGGUUCUCUCAGUACGGUCGGAAAUCGUACGUAGAGUGUAAAGGCAAAAGAGAGCUUGAUUGCAAGACAUACAGGUCGAGCAAGGAUGAA
rnacentral:rRNA from 1 species